rnacentral:rRNA from 1 species
CCUACGGGAGGCAGCAGUGGCGAAUAUUGCACAAUGGGGGAAACCCUGAUGCAGCGACGCCGCGUGAGUGAAGAAGUAAUUCGGUAUGUAAAGCUCUAUCAGCAGGGAAGAAAAUGACGGUACCUGAGUAAGAAGCCCCGGCUAAAUACGUGCAGGCAGCCGCGGUAAUACGUAGGGGGCAAGCGUUAUCCGGAGUUACUGGGUGUAAAGGGAGCGUAGACGGGAGUGCAAGUCUGGAGUGAAAGGCGGGGGCUCAACCCUCGGAGUGCUCUGGAAACUGUACGUCUGGAGUACAGGUGAGGUAAGUGGAAUUCCUAGUGUAGCGGUGAAAUGCGUAGAUAUUAGGAGGAACACCAGUGGCGAAGGCGGCUUACUGGACUGUAACUGACGUUGAGGCUCGAAAGCGUGGGGAGCAAACAGGAUUAGAUACCCGAGUAGUC